AUCAGAAAAAGGCAAACCUGUUGAAAGGCAGGGACGCAAAGCCUAGGGUCUAAGGCAGGUGAAACGCUUGCUAUGAUGGCCGGGAUGCCUGA
rnacentral:ncRNA from 1 species